rnacentral:rRNA from 1 species
AUUGAACGCUGGCGGCAUGCCUUACACAUGCAAGUCGAACGGCAGCACGGGUGCUUGCACCUGGUGGCGAGUGGCGAACGGGUGAGUAAUAUAUCGGAACAUACCCUAGAGUGGGGGAUAACGUAGCGAAAGUUACGCUAAUACCGCAUACGAACUAAGGUUGAAAGUGGGGGAUCGCAAGACCUCAUGCUCAUGGAGUGGCCGAUAUCUGAUUAGCUAGUUGGUGAGGUAAAGGCUCACCAAGGCGACGAUCAGUAGCUGGUUUGAGAGAACGACCAGCCACACUGGAACUGAGACACGGUCCAGACUCCUACGGGAGGCAGCAGUGGGGAAUUUUGGACAAUGGGGGCAACCCUGAUCCAGCAAUGCCGCGUGAGUGAAGAAGGCCCUCGGGUUGUAAAGCUCUUUUGUCAGGGAAGAAACGGUCUACUCUAAUACAGUGGGCUAAUGACGGUACCUGAAGAAUAAGCACCGGCUAACUACGUGCC